rnacentral:rRNA from 1 species
GAUGAACGCUGGCGGCGUGCCUAAUACAUGCAAGUCGAGCGAACAGACGAGGAGCUUGCUCCUCUGACGUUAGCGGCGGACGGGUGAGUAACACGUGGAUAACCUACCUAUAAGACUGGGAUAACUUCGGGAAACCGGAGCUAAUACCGGAUAAUAUAUUUAACCGCAUGGUUCAAUAGUGAAAGACGGUUUUGCUGUCACUUAUAGAUGGAUCCGCGCCGCAUUAGCUAGUUGGUAAGGUAACGGCUUACCAAGGCAACGAUGCGUAGCCGACCUGAGAGGGUGAUCGGCCACACUGGAACUGAGACACGGUCCAGACUCCUACGGGAGGCAGCAGUAGGGAAUCUUCCGCAAUGGGCGAAAGCUUGACGGAGCAACGCCGCGUGAGUGAUGAAGGUCCUCGGAUCGUAAAACUCUGUUAUUAGGGAAGAACAAAUGUGUAAGUAACUAUGCACGUCUUGACGGUACCUAAUCAGAAAGCCACGGCUAACUACGUG